rnacentral:rRNA from 1 species
CCUACGGGGGGCAGCAGUGGGGAAUAUUGCGCAAUGGGCGAAAGCCUGAUGCAGCGACGCCGCGUGAGGGAUGAAGGUCUUCGGAUCGUAAACCUCUGUCAGCAGGGAAGAACGGUCACUGUGCUAAUCAGCAGUGUAUCGCCGGUACCUGCAAAGGAAGCACCGGCUAACUCCGUGCCAGCAGCCGCGGUAAUACGGAGGGUGCGAGCGUUAGUCGGAAUUAUUGGGCGUAAAGCGCUCGUAGGCGGUAUGUCAAGUCAAGGGUGAAAUCCCCGCGCUCAACGUGGGAACUGCCUUUGAAACUGGCAAACUGGAGUGUGUGAGAGGAUAGUGGAAUUCCAGGUGUAGGAGUGAAAUCCGUAGAUAUCUGGAGGAACAUCAGUGGCGAAGGCGACUAUCUGGCACAUAACUGACGCUGAGGAGCGAAAGCGUGGGUAGCAAACAGGAUUAGAUACCCUUGUAGUC